rnacentral:rRNA from 1 species
GAAGGCUUGACCUCAGAAUCAGGUAGGACUACCCGCUGAACUUAGAGCAUAUCAAUAGAGCGGAGGA